UUCGGAAGACGUUGUUCCAUUGUUACUAGAUAUCGAUUGAGGCGAGCGUGUUGCAUUUUGGAAACAUUUGAAGUGGUAGUAAGGAGUAGCCAAAACAGGGUUUAUUUGGUCAACUUGGUGUAUUGGGUAUGCUUAGAUAUGCAUAAGUUCAAUUUUCUUCAAUGUGACAAAUGAUUGCAG